rnacentral:rRNA from 1 species
UAGGGAAUCUUCCGCAAUGGACGCAAGUCUGACGGAGCAACGCCGCGCGAGUGAAGAAGGAUUUCGGUUCGUAAAACUCUGUUGUUAGAGAAGAACAGCGCAUAGAGUAACUGUUAUGCGUGUGACGGUAUCUAACCAGAAAGCCACGGCUAACUACGUGCCAGCAGCCGCGGUAAUACGUAGGUGGCAAGCGUUGUCCGGAUUUAUUGGGCGUAAAGCGAGCGCAGGCGGUCAAUUAAGUCGGAUGUGAAAGCCCCCGGCUCAACCGGGGAGGGUCAUUGGAAACUGGUUGACUUGAGUGCAGAAGAGGAGAGUGGAAUUCCAUGUGUAGGGGUAAAAUGCGUAGAUAUAUGGAGGAACACCAGUGGCGAAGGCGACUCUCGGGUCUGUAACUGACGCUGAGGCUCGAGAGCGUGGGUAGCAAACAGG